rnacentral:rRNA from 1 species
GACGAACGCUGGCGGCGUGCUUAACACAUGCAAGUCGAACGGAAAGGCCCUGCUUUUGUGGGGUGCUCGAGUGGCGAACGGGUGAGUAACACGUGAGUAACCUGCCCUUGACUUUGGGAUAACUUCAGGAAACUGGGUCUAAUACCGGAUAGGAGCUCCUGCUGCAUGGUGGGGGUUGGAAGGUUUCGGCGGUUGGGGAUGGACUCGCGGCUUAUCAGUUUGUUGGUGGGGUAGUGUCUUACCAAGGCUUUGACUGGUAGCCGGCCUGGGAGGGUGACCGGCCACAUUGGGACUGAGAUACGGCGCAGACUCCUACGGGAGGCAGCAGUGGGGAAUAUUGCACAAUGGGCGGAAGCCUGAUGCAGCAACGCCGCGUGCGGGAUGACGGCCUGCGGGUUGUAAACCGCUUUCGCCUGUGACGAAGCGUGAGUGACGGUAAUGGGUAAAGAAGCACCGGCUAACUACGUG